rnacentral:rRNA from 1 species
CAGGUAGGUGGUCUUAUUUGUCAGGGGUGAAAGCCUUGGGCUUAACUCAAGAAGUGCCCCUGAAACGGUAAGACUCGAGUGCUGGAGAGGGUCGUGGAAUUCCCGGUGUAGCGGUGAAAUGCGUAGAGAUCGGGAGGAACACCAGAGGCGAAGGCGGCGACCUGGACAGUGACUGACACUCAACUGCGAAAGCGUGGGGAGAAC